rnacentral:rRNA from 1 species
AUACGGAAGGUCCGGGCGUUAUCCGGAUUUAUUGGGUUUAAAGGGAGCGCAGGCGGGAGCUUAAGCGUGACGUGAAAUGUAGCCGCUCAACGGCUGAGUUGCGUCGCGAACUGGGUUUCUUGAGUGAGUACGACGCGGACGGAAUUCGUGGUGUAGCGGUGAAAUGCUUAGAUAUCACGAAGAACCCCGAUUGCGAAGGCAGUCCGCGAGUCCUUUACUGACGCUAAAGCUCGAAGGUGCGGGUAUCGAACAGGAUUAGAUACCCUGGUAGUCCGCACGGUAAACGAUGGAUGCCCGCUGUCGGCGACAGACUGUCGGCGGCCAAGCGAAAGCGUUAAGCAUCCCACCUGGGGAGUACGCCGGCAACGGUGAAACUCAAAUGAAUUGACGGGG